AUUGAACGCUGGCGGCAUGCCUUACACAUGCAAGUCGAACGGUAACGGGCCUUCGGGUGCCGACGAGUGGCGAACGGGUGAGUAAUACAUCGGAACGUGCCCGAUCGUGGGGGAUAACGAGGCGAAAGCUUUGCUAAUACCGCAUACGAUCUACGGAUGAAAGCAGGGGACCGCAAGGCCUUGCGCGGACGGAGCGGCCGGUGGCAGAUUAGGUUGUUGGUGGGAUAAAAGCUUACCAAGCCGACGAUCUGUAGCUGGUCUGAGAGGAUGAUCAGCCACACUGGAACUGAGACACGGCCCAGACUCCUACGGGAGGCAGCAGUGGGGAAUUUUGGACAAUGGGCGCAAGCCUGAUCCAGCCAUGCCGCGUGCAGGAUGAAGGCCUUCGGGUUGUAAACUGCUUUUGUACGGAACGAAAAGCCUUCUUUUAAUACAGGAGGGUCAUGACGGUACCGUAAGAAUAAGCACCGGCUAACUACGUG
rnacentral:rRNA from 1 species